UCCUACGGGAGGCAGCAGUGAGGAAUUUUGCGCAAUGGGGGAAACCCUGACGCAGCAACGCCGCGUGGGUGAUGAAGGCCUUCGGGUCGUAAAGCCCUGUCGGGUGGGAAGAACCCCUCGGGAUCGAACAGGUCUCGAGGUUGACGGUACCACCAGAGGAAGCACCGGCUAACUCCGUGCCAGCAGCCGCGGUAAUACGGAGGGUGCAAGCGUUAUUCGGAAUUACUGGGCGUAAAGGGCGUGCAGGCGGCUGGGCAAGUCUGAUGUGAAAGCCCGGGGCUUAACCCCGGAAGUGCAUUGGAAACUGCCCGGCUUGAGUACUGGAGAGGAAGGGAGAAUUCCCGGUGUAGAGGUGAAAUUCGUAGAGAUCGGGAGGAACACCAGUGGCGAAGGCGCCCUUCUGGACAGCUACUGACGCUGAGACGCGAAAGCGUGGGGAGCAAACAGGAUUAGAUACCCCGGUAGG
rnacentral:rRNA from 1 species